UCAUCUACUACACAUCCAUCGUCGGGAAUAAUAGGCGGCAAGAAGAAGAAACAUUGGAUUCGACUGAGACAAUCGAUAUCGACACA
rnacentral:SRP_RNA from 1 species